rnacentral:rRNA from 1 species
AGAAUCAACGCUGGCGGCGUGCCUAACACAUGCAAGUCGCACGAGAAAGUGGAGCAAUCCAUGAGUACAGUGGCGCACGGGUGAGUAACACGUGAAUAAUCUACCUCCGAGUGGGGAAUAACCUAGAGAAAUCUGGGCUAAUACCGCAUAACACUUACGAGUCAAAGCAGCAAUGCGCUUGGAGAGGAGUUCGCGGCCGAUUAGCUAGUUGGCGGGGUAAUGGCCCACCAAGGCGAUGAUCGGUAUCCGGCCUGAGAGGGCGCACGGACACACUGGAACUGAAACACGGUCCAGACUCCUACGGGAGGCAGCAGUGGGGAAUUUUGCGCAAUGGGGGAAACCCUGACGCAGCAACGCCGCGUGGAGGAUGAAAUCCCUUGGGAUGUAAACUCCUUUCGAUAGGGAAGAUAAUGACGGUACCUAUAGAAGAAGCCCCGGCUAACUUCGCGCCAGCAGCCGC